rnacentral:rRNA from 1 species
AACGAACGCUGGCGGCAGGCCUAACACAUGCAAGUCGAACGCUCGUAGCAAUACGGGAGUGGCAGACGGGUGAGUAACGCGUGGGAAUCUACCCAAUGGUACGGACUAACUCAGGGAAACUUGAGCUAAUACCGUAUGUGCCCGAAAGGGGAAAGAUUUAUCGCCAUUGGAUGAGCCCGCGUCGGAUUGGCUAGUUGGUGGGGUAACGGCCCACCAAGGCGACGAUCCGUAGCUGGUCUGAGAGGAUGAGCAGCCACACUGGGACUGAGACACGGCCCAGACUCCUACGGGAGGCAGCAGUGGGGAAUAUUGGACAAUGGGCGCAAGCCUGAUCCAGCCAUGCCGCGUGAGUGAUGAAGGCCCUAGGGUUGUAAAGCUCUUUCGGCGGGGACGAUAAUGACGGUACCCGCAGAAGAAGCCCCGGCUAACUUCGUGCCAGCCGCCGCCGUAACAC